GGGGGACCCACGGCGAAUGGUUCAUCAAGUCUUCAAAAAAGAAUAUAUACGAUUGCAUUGCAUAUACUAACGGAUGCGAUCAUACCAGCACUAAUGCACCGGAUCCCAUCAGAACUCCGCAGUUAAGCGUGCUUGGGCGAGAGUAGUACUAGGAUGGGUGACUUCCCGUGAAGUCCUCGUGUUGCAUCCCUCUUUUAUGUUUAACCUUUUUUUUUUUGG
rnacentral:rRNA from 1 species